GUGGGGAAUAUUGGACAAUGGGCGCAAGCCUGAUCCAGCCAUGCCGCGUGAAUGAUGAAGGCCUUAGGGUUGUAAAGUUCUUUCGCCAGGGACGAUAAUGACGGUACCUGGAUAAGAAGCCCCGGCUAACUUCGUGGCAGCAGCCGCGGUAAUACGAAGGGGGCUAGCGUUGUUCGGAUUUACUGGGCGUAAAGCGCACGUAGGCGGAUCUUUAAGUCAGGGGUGAAAUCCCGAGGCUCAACCUCGGAACUGCCCUUGAUACUGGAGAUCUUGAGUUCGGGAGAGGUGAGUGGAACUGCGAGUGUAGAGGUGAAAUUCGUAGAUAUUCGCAAGAACACCAGUGGCGAAGGCGGCUCACUGGCCCGAUACUGACGCUGAGGUGCGAAAGCGUGGGGAGCAAACAGGAUUAGAUACCCGUGUAGUCC
rnacentral:rRNA from 1 species